CUUCAGGCACGAGGCUGCUGAGGGAAACCUGUGAGGGGGAGGAAGAAGGAGCCGGUCUGGGCGCUCAGGGGGGUUGUCUGAGGAGAAAAGGAGGGUCCUGGGGCUUCUCUGCCUCAGGUUGCUUCACCUCGGCUCAGCUCAUCUCAGGGGUCCGUGCUAGCCCCAGAAGUAUGAAGUAUUGCAUUGGAAUAAGCCUCUGGUGCUUGGGUGGUGGCUGAGGCGGGAAGAUGGGGUCCUGUGUGCAAUGCGAGUCCUCCUCGCCGUGCUGACGGAGGGCUGGAGUGCAGUGGGGUGGAUGGUGUCAACAGCUGAGAAGGACGUUCAUCGUGCUGCGUGCGCCUGGGCCAGCCUGACGUGAGGAGUAUUAAUGGGAGAGUUAUGAAACCAAAAUGCCAAGAAUGCCCUCUAUGGAUACCUAAUGGUCUAGGCUGCAUAGCACUGAUCUGCCGUCCUCGUCUGUAAUAGCUGAUGAUCACUUCUAACCUACCCUGUCACAGCUGUUUGAUGCCACAUCAAUUAAAACCGACGUGAGAUGUGGGCCUGGGAGAGGAUGAAGGCAAGCGUGAUGUGCGUCUGCCCAAAAAGACUGACAAUGAUGCUCCAAACUUAGUUGCCCAAGGAGCAGACAUUGCUUUUUUGAACGUGUAACUACUAGUUUAAACAGUCCUUUUGUUGGUGUUCCAAAACAUCGGACUGAAACCAAGAGGAGGGGAAGGUGGGCAUCCUGUUGCGAUGGCCAUGGUGGAAAUAGUGUUGGUUCUCUGUGGGGUGUUUAGUCUGAUGAACUUCGGAGGGCUGAAAUCCACCACUUGGAAGAUAGCAAGGGGGGGAAACUUGCCCAUCAUCACUGAGUGGUGAGAGCAGUGGGUUUCGGCUGGUGUGCCUGCUAGAGAUGGGAAGGCGUCUGGAAGAUGGGUGGGAGGUAGGUGCUCUGAGAAUACCGCAGGGACAGGUAGGAUGGAGGUGCAGAACAACUCAAAGUUAUUGGGGUUGGUUCUGUGCAUCUGUGGGACAGAAAAUGCAAAGGCUGAACAGGCAAACAUGUAAGCACCCAGGGAACAUAAAUGCCCCUGCACUGGGCAGGAGCUGUGGGGAGCUGAAGUCUGGAUUGAAGCAUUGUGAAACACCGACAUCACCUGUUACGAAUCAUAGCCCUUAGCUUGGUUGUCUCUCAUGGGAUACGAUAAGGGCUGUGCCUGUGUUUGGGGAGCUUUUUCUACCAGGUGGUUUUACCUCUGGUAUUCUCAAGCUCACCAAGAGAUGGUGUGGGUGCACACACUUGCUCUGCAUCUCCAUUACCUGAUCUUUCAACACAGUGUUAGCAAGCUAAUUUUUUUCCCAGGAUGAGACUUUAAUUCCCUCCCAUUGAUCGUGGCCAAAGAAGAGAGCUCAAAUGGAGAUUUUAUUCCAGAAACAAUGGCCCCCUUAUGUGCUCUGUCGUGCUCUCUGUGAAUGAACAUGCUAGUGAAAUGAAGGCUUUUCCCCAGGCUGUUUUGUACCUUUCUCAGGUGAAUCUUCAUAUUAGAUCAGCUGCUUGGAUUCCUGCAGGGACGGAGAAGGGAGGGAAAGCAUGAAAUCUUUGUUCCAUGGAGACAUGAGACAAAAUGACAGUCAGUGGGACUUGGUCUUCACAUUUAGUUUCCAUAAAUCCUCAUGUGCUGCAGUGAAAUUGUCCAUGUUAAAACUUAUGAAGCGGAGGGCAGUUUCCCUGUGCAGCUGUACAUGUUUUUCUGCCUUGUAAUGCUUCUCUCCAGGUCCAGUCCAAAGCCUCCGCCCUGGGCUGGCUGUUCACUUCAAACCAAAGCUGGCGUCAUCCUUCUUGCCUCAUCCUCAGCUCUGCUGUGAGCUGCUGCCUAUUCUGUUGGUACCUGCUCUUCCCCACCCUUCCCAGUGCUGUCAGCAUUUCUCAAGUUGUACAUAAAAUAUAGGUUGCUACUUUCCCAUGUUUGGUCCUUUGCUGGCUGAGCUGCACCAAAACCAUCAAGGUGAUUAAUUUGAUGAUCCAAUGCAGAAGGCUUUGAGAGCAAGGCAUUGGUGUUCUUGAUCACUUCCUCUCCUCUCGUCCCCUCUGCCACUAUCCGUCAAGAUGGCAUUUUAAUGAUCCUUUUACUGCUUUUCCUCUUUGCCUGAGACUUGCAGAAGUGCAAGAAGCAAUGUUGUAAUUUCUGUGCUGCCUACCCCUAAAUGAAGGGAAACUCCCUCCAAAUGCUGUGCCUGAAUUUCAGUGUGCAAACUUCCCUACAGUUUCCUACAGUGCUUCAGGUGGAGUGGUUUAUAUCUGUCUAUUGCUGGUUCUUGGUCUGAGCAAAAAAAGGACUGUAAUGUUUCUAUUUCUGUGUUGAGUGAGUGAGGCACAUGGAGAGGAGGAAAAGAGAUAUGCUUACAUAAGUUAAGGGUGGAGAGAGAAGGAAUUCCAUUGUCUGU